GUCCUAGCCGUAAACGGUGCACGUUUGCUGUAAGAGGAAUCGACCCCUUUUGUGGCGAAGCUAACGCGAUAAACGUGCCGCCUGGGAAGUACGGUCGCAAGAUUAAAACUCAAAGAAAUUGACGGGGGCCUGCACAAGCGGUGGAGUAUGUGGCUCAAUUCGAUGCAACGCGAAGAACCUUACCUGGCCUUGACAUGCAUGUAGUAGGAGGAUGAAAGUCCGACGAGGUAGCAAUACCAGCAUGCACAGGUGCUGCAUGGCUGUCGU
rnacentral:rRNA from 1 species